ensembl:lncRNA
UUACGAGGUGCUGAUGUUGAGCAGAGAUCAUCCGUUCAGCCCAGAUGGUAAUUGACUCGACACCAGACCCCUGCGUCUCGUUCUAUUUCUCUUCCUGGGACAUCAGAACUUUUCCUUUGCAGGUUUUUGGAGGCUUUGAAAUCCAGACUCAGAAGUGGAGGUGGAUCCCAGCAGGAACAUGGCCCAUCUCUCUGCCCCAGAGGAGACGUACUGCCACAGGGUCCAGAGAUGAGCCUUUGCCUGUCCGCUCUGGCAUUUCCUCUCACUGGCUCCAUGUGAAGGAGGAUAAAUCCAGUGUUUCUGGCAGAAGCCGCCAUGCAUCCUGGCGAUGGUGGAGGCCAUUGACAGCUGAGUGUCGUCGGGGGAUAUUAAAGUCCAACAGCGGGCCCAUUUCCCUUAUUAUUACAUGGGUUAUCCUAUGAUGGGUUUCAUGCACCUUUCCUUCGCACUCCGCCAACAUGUGUCCAAUGCUGUGUUUAGUAGUUCGGUG